GUAGAGAUGGUUCUCCUUCUUCUUUUCUAUUCUGAAUGCCUUUUAUUUCUUUUUCCCUGCCCCAACUAGAACUUCCAGUAUAAUAUUGAGUAGAAGUGGCAAGAGCAGAUAUCCUUAUCUUGUUCCUGAUCUUAGGCAGAAAGCUCUUAGUUUUCAACAUUAGGUAUGAUGUUAGCUGUGAGUUUUUCCCAGAUGCCUUUUAUCAGGUUGAGGAAGUGCCUUUCUGUUCCUAGCGUGUUGAGUGUUUUAUCAUAAAGAGAUGAUGGAUUUUUGUCCAGUGCCUUUUCUUCAUCUAUUGAGAUGAUCAUGUUUUGUUCAUUAAUGUGGUAUAUUACAUUGUUUUAUUUGUUAAUAUGAUAUUUUACUUAUUAAUAUGGUGUACAAGCAUACCUCAUUUUAUUGUACUUCACUUUAUUGUACUUCGAAGAUACUGCUUUUUUUUGUCUUUUUUCUUUUACAAGUUGAAGGCUUGCAGCAGCCCUGCAUCAAGCAAAUCCAUCAGUGCCAUUUUUCCAACGGCAUUUCCUUACUUUAUGCCUAUGUCACAUUUUGACAUAAUGCUAUUGCACAUAGCUCUUAUAUGCACUGAGAAACCAAAAAAUUUGUGUGACUCGCUUUAUUGCAGUGGUCUGGGAACUGCAACUGCAAUACCUCCAAGGCUGAGGGUAAAAAGCUCGGAUUAGUAGGCUGGGUCCAGAACACUGACCAGGGCACAGUGCAAGGACAAUUGCAAGGUCCCACCUCCAAAGUACGUCAUAUGCAGGAAUGGCUUGAGACAAAAGGAAGUCCCAAAUCG